rnacentral:rRNA from 1 species
GAUGAACGCUGGCGGCGUGCCUAAUACAUGCAAGUCGAGCGAACAGACGAGGAGCUUGCUCCUCUGACGUUAGCGGCGGACGGGUGAGUAACACGUGGAUAACCUACCUAUAAGACUGGGAUAACUUCGGGAAACCGGAGCUAAUACCGGAUAAUAUAUUGAACCGCAUGGUUCAAUAGUGAAAGACGGUUUUGCUGUCACUUAUACAUGGAUCCGCGCUGCAUUAGCUAGUUGGUAAGGUAACGGCUUACCAAGGCAACGAUGCGUAGCCGACCUGAGAGGGUGAUCGGCCACACUGGAACUGAGACACGGUCCAGACUCCUACGGGAGGCAGCAGUAGGGAAUCUUCCGCAAUGGGCGAAAGCCUGACGGAGCAACGCCGCGUGAGUGAUGAAGGUCUUCGGAUCGUAAAACUCUGUUAUUAGGGAAGAACAAAUGUGUAAGUAACUAUGCACGUCUUGACGGUACCUAAUCAGAAAGCCACGGCUAACUACGUG